CCCAAGAAAAAUCCCAGACCUGAUCGA
rnacentral:rasiRNA from 1 species